UGAAGACCAUGGACAUGCUCAAUGCUCACUUGGACACACCUUGGAGGUGCCCAGUGUCCAUCUGGAACCCACUGAGAAAGUGCCCAGUGCCCACCUGGAGACCACACAGGUGCCCUGUGCCCACCUGGACACACCUUGGAGAUGCUCAGUGCCCUCCUGGGCAUGUCAGAGGUGCCCAGUGUCCAUCUGGAACCCACUGAGAAAGCACCCAGUGCUCACCUGAAGACCAAGCAGGUGCCCAGUGCCCACCUGGAGGUGCCCAGUGCUCACCUGGAACCUACCAAGAAAGUGCCCAGUGCUCACCUGGACACACCUUGGAGAUGCUCAUUGCCCACCUGGGCACACCUUGGUACCCAGUGCCCACCUGGAGGUGCCCAGCGCUCACCUGGGCAUGUCAGAGGUGCCCAGUGCCCACCUGGAGACCAUGGGCAUUCCCAGUGCUCACCUGGGCACACCUUGGAGGUGCCCAGUGCUCACCUGUAGACCAUGCAGGUGCCCAGUGCCCACCUGGACACACCUGGGAGGUGCCCAGUACCCACCUGGAACCCACCGAGAAAGUGCCCAGUGCCCACCUGGAGACCACGCAGGUGCCCAGUGCCCACCUGGAGACCAUGCAGGUGCCCUGUGCCCACCUGGAGGUGCCCAGUGCUCACCUGGAGCCCACCGAGAAAGUGCCCAGGGCUCACCUGGACACACCUUGGAGAUGCCCAGUGUCCAUCUGGGCAUGGCAGAGGUGCCCGGUGCUCACCUGGACACAUCAGUGCCCACCUGGACAUGUUAGAGGUGCCCUCUGCCCACCUGGACUCACCUUGGAGGUGCCCAGUGCCCACCUGGAACCCCACAGGUGCUCCUGGCCUGGGGGACCCUGUGCCCCGCCCCUGUGCACACCUGUGCCCGCAGGUGAUGGGGGUGCCAGGGGGUACCUGGGGAGGUACCUGAGCUCACCUGGCACUGGUGAGGGGUACCUGAGGGGUACCUGAGAGGAACCUGAGCACACCUGGCACAGGUGAGGGGUGCCAGGGGGUACCAGGGGGGUGCCAGAGGGUACCUGAGCACACCUGGCACAGGUGAGGGGUACCUGAUGGGUGCCAGGGGGUACCUGGGGGUUCCUGAGCUCACCUGCCCAGGUGAGGGGUGCCAGGGGGUGCCAGGGGGUUCCUGAGCUCACCUGGCACAGGUGAGGGGUGCCAGGGGGUGCCAGGGGGUUCCUGAGCUCACCUGGCACAGGUGAGGGGUGCCAGGGGGUGCCAGGGGUUUCCUGAGCUCACCUGGCACAGGUGAGGGGUGCCAGGGGGGUACCUGGGGGUUCCUGAGCUCACCUGGCACAGGUGAGGGGUGCCAGGGGGUGCCAGGCGGUUCCUGAGCUCACCUGCACAGGUGAGGGGUGCCAGGGGGUGCCAGGCGGUUCCUGAGCUCACCUGCACAGGUGAGGGGUGCCAGGGGGUGCCAGGCGGUUCCUGAGCUCACCUGGCACAGGUGAGGGGUGCCAGGGGGUGCCAGGCGGUUCCUGAGCUCACCUGCCCAGGUGAGGCCGUUCCCGCGUUCCCCUCCCCCCCAUGUCAAUAAAGGCGCCCCUCCCCCA